rnacentral:rRNA from 1 species
UGGGGAGUACGGUCGCAAGACUGAAACUCAAAGGAAUUGACGGGGGCCCGCACAAGCGGUGGAGCAUGUGGUUCAAUUCGACGCAACGCGAAGAACCUUACCUGGGCUCGAAAUGCAGUGGACCGGGGUGGAAACAUCCCUUUCCGCAAGGACCGCUGUAUAGGUGCCGCAUGGCUGUCGUCAGCUCGUGUCGUGAGAUGUUGGGUUAAGUCCCGCAACGAGCGCAACCCUUAUUGCCAGUUGCCAUCAUUUAGUUGGGCACUCUGGCGAAACCGCCCCGGAUAACGGGGAGGAAGGUGGGGAUGACGUCAAGUCCUCAUGGCCUUUAUGUCCAGGGCUACACACGUGCUACAAUGGUCUAUACAAACCGUCGCAAACCCGCGAGGGGGAGCUAAUCGGAAAAAGUAGGCCUCAGUUCGGAUUGUAGUCUGCAACUCGACUACAUGAAGCUGGAAUCGCUAGUAAUCGCGGAUCAGAACGCCGCGGUGAAUACGUUCCCGGGCCUUGUACACACCGCCCGUCACAUCACGAAAGUGGGCUGUACUAGAAGCAGGUGGGCUAACCGCAAGGGAGCAGCCUUCCAAGGUAUAACUCAUGAUUGGGGUGGAGUCGUAACAAGGUAGCCGUAGGAGAACCUGCGGCUGGAUCAC